AGUGAACGCUGGCGGUAGGCCUAACACAUGCAAGUCGAACGGCAGCACAGUAAGAGCUUGCUCUUACGGGUGGCGAGUGGCGGACGGGUGAGGAAUACAUCGGAAUCUACUUUUUCGUGGGGGGUAACGUAGGGAAACUUACGCUAAUACCGCAUACGACCUACGGGUGAAAGCAGGGGAUCUUCGGACCUUGCGCGACUGAAUGAGCCGAGGUCGGAUUAGCUAGUUGGCGGGGUAAAGGCCCACCAAGGCGACGAUCCGUAGCUGGUCUGAGAGGAUGAUCAGCCACACUGGAACUGAGACACGGUCCAGACUCCUACGGGAGGCAGCAGUGGGGAAUAUUGGACAAGGGGCGCAAGCCUGACCCAGCCAUACCGCGUGGGUGAAGAAGGCCUUCGGGUUGUAAAGCCCUUUUGUUGGGAAAGAAAAGCAGCAGGUUAAUACCCCGCUGUUCUGACGGUACCCAAAGAAUAAGCACCGGCUAACUUCGUG
rnacentral:rRNA from 1 species